rnacentral:rRNA from 1 species
CUUGCUAAAGAGGAAAGUGGCGCACGGUGUGCGUAACGCGUAUGCAACCUACCUUAAUCAGGGGGAUAGCCCGAAGAAAUUCGGAUUAACACCGCAUAAAAUCACAGUACAGCAUUGUACAAUGAUCAAAUAUUUAUAGGAUUAAGAUGGGCAUGCGUGACAUUAGUUAGUUGGCGGGGUAACGGCCCACCAAGACCACGAUGUCUAGGGGAUCUGAGAGGAUGACCCCCCACACUGGUACUGAGACACGGACCAGACUCCUACGGGAGGCAGCAGUAAGGAAUAUUGGUCAAUGGAGGCAACUCUGAACCAGCCAUGCCGCGUGCAGGAAGACAGCCCUCUGGGUCGUAAACUGCUUUUAUUCGGGAAUAAACCACAUUACGUGUAGUGUGCUGAAUGUACCGAAGGAAUAAGGAUCG